UACGUAGGGUGCAAGCGUUGUCCGGAUUUAUUGGGCGUAAAGAGCGUGUAGGCGGUCAGGUAGGUCCGUUGUGAAAACUCGAGGCUCAACCUCGAGACGCCGAUGGAAACCAUCUGACUAGAGUCCGGAAGAGGAGAGUGGAAUUCCUGGUGUAGCGGUGAAAUGCGCAGAUAUCAGGAAGAACACCAAUGGCGAAGGCAGCUCUCUGGGACGGUACUGACGCUGAGACGCGAAAGCGUGGGGAGCGAACAGG
rnacentral:rRNA from 1 species